rnacentral:rRNA from 1 species
UUGACGUCCUGGGGCACCCUGACAGCAAUGCCGCGUGAGUGAAGAAGGCCUUCGGGUUGUAAAGCUCUUUUGUCAGGGAAGAAACACCGGCUCUAACACAGUCCGGGAAUGACGGUACCUGAAGAAUAAGCACCGGCUAACUACGUGCCAGCAGCCGCGGUAAUACGUAGGGUGCAGGCGUUAAUCGGAAUUACUGGGCGUAAAGCGUGCGCAGGCGGUUAUACAAGACAGGCGUGAAAUCCCCGGGCUUAACCUGGGAAUGGCGCCUGUGACUGUAUAGCUAGAGUGUGUCAGAGGGGGGUAGAAUUCCACGUGUAGGAGGUGAGAGGGGGUAGAUAUGUGGAGGAAUACCAAUGGCGAAGGCAGCCCCCUGGGACAACACUGACGCUCAUGCACGAAA